ACUCCUACGGAAGGCAGCAGUGGGGAAUUUUGGACAAUGGGCGCAAGCCUGAUCCAGCCAUGCCGCGUGCGGGAAGAAGGCCUUCGGGUUGUAAACCGCUUUUGUCAGGGAAGAAACGGCCAUCGCCAAUACCGGUGGCUAAUGACGGUACCUGAAGAAUAAGCACCGGCUAACUACGUGCCAGCAACCGCGGUAAU
rnacentral:rRNA from 1 species